rnacentral:rRNA from 3 species
CGGCGAUAUGUACACAUCUGAGAGCCAGUUCACCUCUCUGUAUUUAAAGAGAUUACUAUCAAAUCCUAUUUUACCUGAAGAUUCUUCUCAAGUUCCACUUAUUCUUUAAUUGUAACCAACCUACACCCUAAAAUACCACACCAAAUCUGACAUAGUUGUUACCUUAAAAAUACUCAUAUCAAAGGUAUUAGAAUGACGGUAUAUGAGCCAGAUGGGGUAAGUACCAACGCGAAAAUACGAUUCUGAGGCAGGUUCCUCUGAGCGGAUCAGAUGCCGCCAAGUCCUCUGGGUUUUAAGAAUAUAGCUAUUACUACCCCACCCAGGGUAGCUCCAAAUAAUAGGGUAUCU